UACGAAGGGGGCUAGCGUUGCUCGGAAUCACUGGGCGUAAAGCGCACGUAGGCGGACUCUUAAGUCGGUGGUGAAAUCCUGGAGCUCAACUCCAGAACUGCCUUCGAUACUGGAAAGCUCGAGUCCGGGAGAGGUGAGUGGAACUGCGAGUGUAGAGGUGAAAUUCGUAGAUAUUCGCAAGAACACCAGUGGCGAAGGCGGCUCACUGGCCCGGUACUGACGCUGAGGUGCGAAAAGCGUGGGGAGCAACAGG
rnacentral:rRNA from 1 species